rnacentral:sRNA from 1 species
UUUUUUUUUGAAUACUAAGAGAUUUUGGGCCGAAUGCCAUAAUCAUAAUAAUUCUAAUG